AGUGAACGCUGGCGGUAGGCCUAACACAUGCAAGUCGAACGGCAGCACAGUAAGAGCUUGCCCUUACGGGUGGCGAGUGGCGGACGGGUGAGGAAUACAUCGGAAUCUACUUUUUCGUGGGGGAUAACGUAGGGAAACUUACGCUAAUCCCGCAUACGACCUACGGGUGAAAGCAGGGGAUCUUCGGACCUUGCGCGAGUGAAUGAGCCGAUGUAGGAUUAGCUAGUUGGCGGGGUAAAGGCCCACCAAGGCGACGAUCCGUAGCUGGUCUGAGAGGAUGAUCAGCCACACUGGAACUGAGACACGGUCCAGACUCCUACGGGAGGCAGCAGUGGGGAAUAUUGGACAAUGGGCGCAAGCCUGAUCCAGCCAUACCGCGUGGGUGAAGAAGGCCUUCGGGUUGUAAAGCCCUUUUGUUGGGAAAGAAAAGCAGCAGGUUAAUACCCCGCUGUUCUGACGGUACCCAAAGAAUAAGCACCGGCUAACUUCGUG
rnacentral:rRNA from 1 species